UACGGGGGGGGCAAGCGUUGUUCGGAAUUACUGGGCGUAAAGGGCUCGUAGGCGGCCAACUAAGUCCGACGUGAAAUCCCUCGGCUUAACCGGGGAACUGCGUCUGAUACUGGAUGGCUAGAGGUUGGGAGAGGGAUGCGGAAUUCCAGGUGUAGCGGUGAAAUGCGUAGAUAUCUGGAGGAACACCGGUGGCGAAGGCGGCAUCCUGGACCAAUUCUGACGCUGAGGAGCGAAAGCCAGGGGAGCAAACGGG
rnacentral:rRNA from 1 species